CUUUAACCAACGCUAUAGCCUACAACGUUUUCUCUCAUUCCCAACCCCGCAGACUAGCCGUCUUACGCCAUCUUCAGGUGGUGGGUAGCGAAGGCCGUCCCCUGUGAUCGCGAAUCCUUUCAUAUCCUUUGAGACUGUAUACGGAGUGUACCGACUGCCGGGUCUUUUCUUGACGGCUGCUUUACGUUCCCCGUCGUUAUCCUUUUCAUCAAUCAUCAUCAUUGCCUGCUUGCGGUGAGUAAUAAGUCGCCACCCUCGAAAAUCCCAUGUCCAGGCUAUCGCGGCAGCAAUCCCACUCCGAGCUCUGUUCCCAGAUUGCACUCUCAAAGUACUAAAAACUGAUACGUUGCACCUUUUAUUAAGAUCUGAGCAUCAAGAUUGCGCUAUGUCAAUGGCCAUAAUUGAAUUGGAGCGCAAGGAUCAGUUUUUUAUAGUUCGAGCAUGAAAUGAAUUUGUUUUGGUAGUUUGAUAUACAGUGUGUAAAAUACUUAUAAAAAAUAUACAGUGUAAAACUCCUAGUAGUUUCAGGGUGGUGUAAUUUUCCCUAGAUAAUAUUUAAGACAGACAUGAAUUAUAUACC